CAGUCGCCGCGGUAAUACGGAGGGGGCUAGCGUUGUUCGGAAUUACUGGGCGUAAAGCGCACGUAGGCGGCUUUGUAAGUUAGAGGUGAAAGCCUGGGGCUCAACUCCAGAAUUGCCUUUAAGACUGCAUCGCUAGAACGUCGGAGAGGUGAGUGGAAUUCCGAGUGUAGAGGUGAAAUUCGUAGAUAUUCGGAAGAACACCAGUGGCGAAGGCGGCUCACUGGACGACUGUUGACGCUGAGGUGCGAAAGCGUGGGGAGCAAACAGGAUUAGAGACCCCCGUAGUCCCUGUCUCUUAUAC
rnacentral:rRNA from 1 species